GGUCAGUGACUCAGUGGUGGAGCCUCUGCUUUGCAUGCAGAAGGUCCUGGGUUCGAUCCCCAUCAUCUCCA
rnacentral:tRNA from 1 species